rnacentral:tRNA from 1 species
UGCGGGGUGGAGCAGCCUGGGAGCUCGUCGGGCUCAUAACCCGAAGGUCGCUGGUUCAAAUCCAGCCCCCGCUACCA